CUCCCUUUUCCAUUUAUUAGAAACAACUGCUGUGUCUCUUGCCAUUCACUUUUAAUUUCUAAAAGAUUUCACAGCAGUGAACUUGACAAGCCAUUCUCUGGAUAAUAUUUGCUCUGAUAGGGCCUGUGAUAUCUGGUGAAAGACAGACAUCAUCAAGAAAACAGAGAGAGUGAAAGAAAGAGAGAGACAAAAAAUCAUCAUGUCACUGUGGAGCACAUUGGGAGAAGUUGUGUCCAGUGUGACAGAGGAAAUGACAGACAUCGUGAACACUGCUUUUGGAGAAGAGGACAGUCAAGAGGAUGGAGACAAAGACCUCCUCACAGCCGUGGGCAGAGUGAUGGCAGGAGCAGCUGAAGUGAGCAAGGCCAUGGCCAGUGCGUCACUGGGGCUCACUAAAGGGGUCACUGGCGGUAUGGCAGGGGCCAUUGGUGCAGCGUGCUCUGCAGGUAGCACCGGAGAAGCAGUUGAAGCUGCAGCAGAUAUUUUGGCACAGUCAGUGGCAGGCGAAUUUGAGGAUGGCAUGAAGGACUUGUCAAAUGGCUCGAAGAUGGUUGUAAAGGGAGUUCGCCAGAGCAUUAAAGUCUGCAGUGAAAAAUGAAAGAGCGCUAUACGGAAUGCAAUAAACAUGCAGCCAUUAAA